AACAAAUAUUCUAUCUCAAAUUCGAACCCUUUCUGAGUAUGUCACCUUUGUUACGAAACUUUGACCCAAAUGUCAAUUUCGUCGACAUGGAUAUCAAAGAUUGUGCUGAAAAAAAGAAGCAGCUUUGAUGGAUAAUAUGAUAAUCUUCAAUCCACUGAGAAUUGGAUAGCUACUAUGGCAUGAUAUGUUGUCUCUUUCAGCACACAGUAGUUUUUGUUCGGAUCCUACCAUGCCAAGGCCCACAGUUAUGUAGGUGAUAUUAUGAGAUCAAGUUGCAACAAUAGCUGAAUAUGCAACAACAAUCCAAGGUCGCAUAUCCAGACGCGAACUAAGCUCCCACUCACGACCCAUGUAACAGGCUAUGGCAAGUAAGGAGUAUAAAACAAUUAGUUCAUUAGGAUCACUGUUUAAUUUAUCUCUUGCUGGAAACCUAUUUUCUACCUCUAUAAGAUAGAGAUAAAAUCUGCGUAAACAUCUGAUAUCAACCUCUCUAAACUCUACUAGUAAAAUUACACCGAGUAUUUGAACUACUAGUAACAUGCACACAUUUUUCAA